rnacentral:rRNA from 1 species
CCUACGGGAGGCUGCAGUGAGGAAUAUUGGUCAAUGGACGCAAGCCUGAACCAGCCAUGCCGCGUGCAGGAAGACGGCUCUAUGAGUUGUAAACUGCUUUUGUACGAGGGUAAACGCAGAUACGCGUACCUGUCUGAAAGUAACGUACGAAUAAGGAUCGGCUAACUCCGUGCCAGCAGCCGCGGUAAUACGGAGGAUUCAAGCGUUAUCCGGAUUUAUUGGGUUUAAAGGGUGCGCAGGCGGGUGAUCAAGUCAGCGGUAAAAUGGCGGGGCUCAACCCCGGCCGGCCGUUGGAACUGGUGUUCUAGAGUUGGAGAGAAGUAUGCGGAAUGCGUGGUGUAGCGGUGAAAUGCAUAGAUAUCACGAAGAACUCCGAUUGCGAAGGCAGCAUACCGGCUCCAUACUGACGCUGAGGCACGAAAGCGUGGGGAUCGAACAGGAUUAGAUACCCGAGUAGUC